AAUGGGGGAUAACGUAGCGAAAGUUACGCUAAUACCGCAUAUGCCCUGAGGGGGAAAGGUGGGGAUCGCAAGACCUAUCGUUUUCGGAGUGGCCGAUAUCAGAUUAGCUAGUUGGUGGGGUAAAGGCCCACCAAGGCGACGAUCUGUAGCGGGUCUGAGAGGAUGAUCCGCCACACUGGGACUGAGACACGGCCCAGACUCCUACGGGAGGCAGCAGUGGGGAAUUUUGGACAAUGGGGGCAACCCUGAUCCAGCCAUGCCGCGUGAGUGAAGAAGGCCUUCGGGUUGUAAAGCUCUUUCAGCCGGAAAGAAAUCGCGCAGGCUAAUAUCCUGCGUGGAUGACGGUACCGGAAGAAGAAGCACCGGCUAACUACGUGCCAGCAGCCGCGGUAAUACGUAGGGUGCGAGCGUUAAUCGGAAUUACUGGGCGUAAAGCGUGCGCAGGCGGUUUUGUAAGACAGGCGUGAAAUCCCCGGGCUUAACCUGGGAACUGCGUUUGUGACUGCAAGGCUAGAGUGUGGCAGAGGGGGGUAGAAUUCCG
rnacentral:rRNA from 1 species